rnacentral:rRNA from 1 species
CAGUCGCCGCGGUAAUACGGAGGAUCCAAGCGUUAUCCGGAAUCAUUGGGUUUAAAGGGUCCGUAGGCGGUCUUGUAAGUCAGUGGUGAAAGCCCAUCGCUCAACGGUGGAACGGCCAUUGAUACUGCAGGACUUGAAUUAUUGGGAAGUAACUAGAAUAUGUAGUGUAGCGGUGAAAUGCUUAGAGAUUACAUGGAAUACCAAUUGCGAAGGCAGGUUACUACCAAUUGAUUGACGCUGAUGGACGAAAGCGUGGGUAGCGAACAGGAUUAGAUACCCGGGUAGUCCCUGUCUCUUAUAC